rnacentral:rRNA from 1 species
UACAGAGGUCUCAAGCGUUGUUCGGAUUCAUUGGGCGUAAAGGGUGUGUAGGUGGCGCGCUAAGUCGGGUGUGAAAUUUCGGAGCUUAACUCCGAAACUGCAUUCGAUACUGGCGUGCUUGAGGACUGGAGAGGAGAAUGGAAUUCCCGGUGUAGCGGUGAAAUGCGCAGAUAUCGGGAAGAACACCCGUGGCGAAGGCGGUUCUCUGGGACGGUACUGACGCUGAGACGCGAAAGCGUGGGGGAGCGAACAGG